AUCUCUCGAAAAAGGAAAAUAAAAACGGGCAACGAACCAAACGCCGAAGCGACCCACCCCGUCCCCGUCACCUCCUCCACCCCUCCUCACCUCCAUCUCAAUCUCCAUCUCCACCAGAAACAAACAAGUGAAACAGCGCAAACCCUUGCUCCGAUUCCCCUCCUCCUCGGCCUCCUCGACGGUAGCAGCAGCAGAGCAGGGGCGGCAGCGGCGGCGGAGGAGGAGGCGGAGGCCAUGUGGCCCGGCUGCGGCGGGCGGUUCUACUGGGCGCCGGAAUCGGCGCCGUCGGCGGGGCAGGCGAGGGGCGUCGCGGUUCUGUUCGCGUGGGUGUGGAGCGACGAGGCGCAGCUGCGGCCGUUCGUCGAGCUGUACUCCUCGCUCGGGUGGCGCUGCCUCGUCUGCCAUCCCGACCUCGUCGCGCUAUAUCUCUCUGAGAAAGCAACAUCACUGGCAACUGGUGUUAUUAAUGAGCUGGUUAAGGAACUGAGAGUAAAACCUGUGCCAACUGUUCUUGCUUCCUUUUCUGGUGGCUCAAAGGGAUGCAUGUACAAGGUUAUUCAGUUACUAGAUGGAAUAUGUGAAGGAGAUGCAACCAUGAAGGACUAUCGGUUAGUGAGAAACUGUAUCUGUGGGCAAAUUUAUGACUCUAGCCCUGUAGAUUUUGUCAGUGAUGUGGGCACCCAGUUUCUCCAAAAGCCUGCUGUUGGAAAUUCAUCUCAGUCAGCUAUAUUACGUUCAUGGAUAGCAAAGGCUCUAGCUUCUGGCAUGGAUACUCUCUUCCCAAGCAGGAUUGAAGCUCAGCGUGCAGAGUACUGGCACACACUAUACUCAGCAGCAGGAUUGGGUCCUGUUCUUAUAUUUUGCUCAGAAGAUGAUAAUCUUGCUCCAUGCCAUAUUAUCUGUGGUUUUGCAAGGCGUUUGAUUGAACUAGGCACGGAGGUUAAACUUAUGAAAUGGAGUGAAUCCCAACAUGUCGGCCAUUACAAUUCACAUGAAACUGAAUACAGGACAGCUGUAGAUGAUAUGUUGAAGAAGGCUCUUGUUACCUUCUGCCACCGAAGCCAACUAUAUGACUCAAAUAUGGCUGGUGACCAGGAGUACAAGAUAGCGCACUCAGUGUGCAGUCUACACAAUGCUGCAGCCAAUUCAAAUGAGAGCUUAAGAAGGGUUGCUAACAGUCCUAGUGAUCACUUCUUCUUGCCAAGUUCAAAGGAUCAUGAUGAAUCUCGGGAACCCGGUUCUCUGAUUGAGGAUCAGAGGCGCCACAUAUCCCAUCCACCCUGCAUGGAGCCUAAAGGAGUCCUUGGACAAAUCCUGUAUGAUGUUUGUGUUCCGAAAAAUGUUGAAGGAUGGGACAUUAAGCCAACAGUGUCUCCGAAUGGACGGCCAACAUUUGCUUCUGCCCGGCAACUUGGUCCAUUCAAUCCCAUCAGGUACUUCCGACGCUCAAGACUAUAGUUUUCUGCAGGAGUUGAGAUUUUUGUAUAUAUAAUGGAGGCAAGGUGUCUAAUGGCAACUCUGAGCAAGAUUUUACCUAUGCCCUGCUGGGACGGGCAAGCUGGAUCUCAACUUUUGGACUUCCUGACUGGAGCUUCUUGUUGGAUGUUCCUUCGAAGAAAAACGAAAAAAGAGAGUAAUAACUUUCUAAAUUUCCUCCAUGUUCCAAGACAGAUCGAAUACGAACCUGUGUGUUCUGGCCAACGUUGGCAGCACCCUAUGCUCUUUCUGAACUCUAAGGCGUUUUCAGACGAAGUUUUUGUACUCUAUUAGUCACAGAGAAAACUCAUGAAACGUUCAUAUUUGUGCGGCAAUAGAUGGGGUAAAAAAACAACGUACUUCUACUCUGGUACAUUUUACUGCAUGUGUUUAACAUUUGUGCCACAGCUA